CCUACGGGUGGCAGCAGUAGGGAAUUUUCGUCAAUGGGCGCAAGCCUGAACGAGCAAUGCCGCGUGAACGAGGAAGGUCUUCGGAUCGUAAAGUUCUGUUGAAGGGGAAAAAGAGCGGAGAGAGGAAAUGGUCUCCGAUUGAUAUUACACUUCGAGGAAGUCACGGCGAACUACGUGCCAGCAGCCGCGGUAAUACGUAGGUGGCGAGCGUUAUCCGGAAUGAUUGGGCGUAAGGGGUGCGUAGGCGGCCUGCUAAGUCUGGAGUGAAAGGUACCGGCUCAACCGGUACAGGCUCUGGAAACUGGCGUGCUAGAGAGCAGGAGAGGGAGGUGGAACUCCAUGUGUAGCGGUAAAAUGCGUAGAUAUAUGGAAGAACCCCAGUUGCGAAGGCGGCCGCCUGGCCUGUUACUGACGCUGAGGCACGAAAGCGUGGGGAGCAAAUAGGAUUAGAUACCCUAGUAGUC
rnacentral:rRNA from 1 species